rnacentral:ncRNA from 1 species
AAAAGUAAAAGCGCCAGAGCUAAGGAAAUCGAGCGAACAUUAAUCCUUAGCUGACGAGGUGGAGGUUUAUCGAAAUUUCGGCGGAUGCCUCCCGAUCGCACAUGCCCGGUUGUAACUUUCGUUUUAAAACAGAGAAGUGAUUUUCUGGACAGAAG